rnacentral:ribozyme from 1 species
UGCUCAGCAGCUCCUAUCCCUACCUCCUCGUGGUACCGGCCGGAAACUAUGAGCAACCUUAGGGAAGCCAGCGGGUAACCAACCCCGGUGGGAACUUUGAUCGUAAGCUGACAGGGAAGG